GACUCCUGGAACGAAAGAAAUUUUGUUUAUAAUUUGGCCUAUCGAGGAUUAACAAUGACCGUUUUGUUAGCAUGAAAGCUAACUUAGCAUUGAAAGCCUUCCCAUCUUCCCUCUCCAAACGUAUGUCCUGUUCUUCCCUUCAUACAUGCAACCCCUUCUCACUGUGCCCAGUACCACCCAGGUCUGGCAGCACUAACCUUUUCCGGCGCUCUCCCUGCUGAGCAUCUUACGUACUGUUGAAGGUGUAGUAGAAAUCACCUUCUUGGAGAAUCUUCCCUGAUCCCUAAGCCAGAAUCCAGCUUUCCUUCUAUUGAAUUCCUCUAGUCUUCCCCCUGUACCUCUCACUUGCCAGACGCUCUGGUUUGUUUUGAUGGUAAUUUUGAAACAUAUUUUAUCUCCUUACUCCAUUAAGAGCCUGGGGGGUGGGGGCAGGAUCCCUAUCUGGCCAGCCUUUGUAUUCCCUAUGAGGCUUUCUUUACACACAGUAGGUGCUCAGGAGAUAUUUCUGGAAUAAGGGAGUAAACUAAGGAAGUAAGAAAUCCAGGAAAGGUUCUCAUGUUCAGUAUGAGACUUUUCACAUCAGUAGCUCUGACCACCAGGCAACAAGAUGACAGGCAAUACAUCUGGAGCACAAAAAGAAGUCGACGGGCAUGCAAUGACACUGUUUUGCUGUGAACGAGAAAAACUGAAAUGAUUGCCUAUUCACAUCCUUUGCCAAAAUGCUAAUGAGAACCGAGUCCCAAGAGCUGCACCAAGAGUUCUAGAUGAAAGAAGCCACGAGGAAGCAAAUGCAGAGGCCUCUAGAAGCUGAGAGAGACCAUGACCAACAGCCAGCAAGGAAAUGAGGACUUCGUCCUGUAACCACACGGGACUGAAUGUUGCUAACACCGGCAUGAGCAAGGAAACAGAUUCCUCCCUUGAUCUUUGAGAAAGAAUGCAUCCCUGUAGACGCCUUGAUUUUAAGCUGGUGAGACCAUAUCAGACUCACCAACUGAAGUAUGUAAUGGUAUAUUUGUGUUGCUUAAAGCCAUUAGAUCUAUGGCAAUUUGUUACAGUGACACUAGAAAA